CUGCCGACGUCGGCAUCGAUGCAAUGCAGGAGGAGAGAACUCGAAGUGGGAGCAGGUGAAGGCGGAUCGGAUGGAAGCGAUGAGGUUGUGGCAGGAGGUGCUUGUGGCUUAUGAGGAUAAGGAUGAAGUCGCGCCCAUCUCCAAGAAGGAAAAGAAGAAUAUAGAUGAUAGAAGAAAAAAAAGAAUAAAAAGUAAAAAAAAAAUUAAAGAAAAAAUCUCUUCAUGAAGGACCGUUAUGUAUUGUCGCUGUUACAGAAAAGGCUAAGAAUCAGAGAAAGAGGAAGAAGAAGAUGAUGGUUGCACUGUUAAAAUAACAUUGCACUAUUUCACAAGAAA
rnacentral:lncRNA from 1 species